AAAAUGCGAUACCUGGUGUGAAUUGCAGAAUCCCGUGAACCAUCGAGUUUUUGAACGCAAGUUGCGCCCGAGGCCUUCCGGCCGAGGGCACGCCUGCCUGGGCGUCACGCCAAAAGACACUCCCCACCCACCCCGGUGUGGGACGUGGUGUUUGGCUCCCCGCGCCAUGAGGCGCGGUGGGCCGAAGUUGGGGCUGCCGGCGUACCGCGCCGGGCACAGCACGUGGUGGGCGACAUAAGUUGUUCUCGGUGCCGUGCCUCGGCGCGCAGCCGGCGCGAGGGCCCUUCCGACCCAUCGACCGUAGCGCACGACGCUCGGACCGCGACCCCAGGUCAGACGGGACUACCCGCUGAGUUUAA
rnacentral:misc_RNA from 1 species